GGCAGUUGGGACAUGGAGUUGUUGAACCAUCUCAGAAAUGGCCAUCAGGACUUGUUCCUACCACGGGGUGUGUGUG